rnacentral:rRNA from 1 species
AGAGUGAACGCUGGCGGCAGGCCUAACACAUGCAAGUCGAACGGCAGCACAGUAAGAGCUUGCUCUUAUGGGUGGCGAGUGGCGGACGGGUGAGGAAUACAUCGGAAUCUGCCUAUUUGUGGGGGAUAACGUAGGGAAACUUACGCUAAUACCGCAUACGACCUACGGGUGAAAGCGGAGGACCUUCGGGCUUCGCGCAGAUAGAUGAGCCGAUGUCGGAUUAGCUAGUUGGUGGGGUAAAGCCCA